CCAGCUAUUCCAUUAGCUGUAGCCUACCGGAACAGGCGUUGCUGGCAACGGCGGGGUCUGAAGCUUUCGGGACAACGAGAUCGGGCGUCAGCCCGGGGAAACCUGCACGUACCGUUCUCAGGGGGCG
rnacentral:ncRNA from 1 species